UGAGGAGAAUGUUGCUUCGAC
rnacentral:siRNA from 1 species